GUAGGUGACAGUCAGGGGCGG
rnacentral:miRNA from 1 species